GUUAUUUGGACAGCAAUUAAAUUAAUAUGAGAGGAACCGUUGAUUCAAACCUUUUGCUUAUGUAAUUUACAUACUCGUUAACGCUACAAAGCUACCAUUUGAUAGGUCAUGACUUAAUGCCUCAAAGUCAGAACAUAAACGAAAAAAUGAC
rnacentral:ncRNA from 1 species